rnacentral:sRNA from 1 species
AAACAAUAGAGGCCGCGCGCACUGAGCGAGCUCCUGCAGCCUCCCCGCCCCUCCCGCAACGCUCGACCCCAGGAUUCCCCCGGCUCGCCUGCCCGCCAUGGCCGACAAGGAAGCAGCCUUCGACGACGCAGUGGAAGAACGAGUGAUCAACGAGGAAUACAAAAUAUGGAAAAAGAACACCCCUUUUCUUUAUGAUUUGGUGAUGACCCAUGCUCUGGAGUGGCCCAGCCUAACUGCCCAGUGGCUUCCAGAUGUAACCAGACCAGAAGGGAAAGAUUUCAGCAUUCAUCGACUUGUCCUGGGGACACACACGUCGGAUGAACAAAACCAUCUUGUUAUAGCCAGUGUGCAGCUCCCUAAUGAUGAUGCUCAGUUUGAUGCGUCACACUACGACAGUGAGAAAGGAGAAUUUGGAGGUUUUGGUUCAGUUAGUGGAAAAAUUGAAAUAGAAAUCAAGAUCAACCAUGAAGGAGAAGUAAACAGGGCCCGUUAUAUGCCCCAGAACCCUUGUAUCAUCGCAACAAAGACUCCUUCCAGUGAUGUUCUUGUCUUUGACUAUACAAAACAUCCUUCUAAACCAGGUACGUGCCCUUUUCUAUUCAAAUACAAAUGAGUCACUAUAGAAAUACAUGGUUCCACUCACUGUGAGUUUAAUUGCAUGUUACUCUGUGUAAUUUAACAUCUUGUGAUUUGUAUUGAUAUGUGUAUAUUUUUCUUCAUUUUGCCUCCGUGAAAAAAUAAUGCCUUUUUACAUAGAACAAA